UCUUUGCAAUAAAUAUGUUCCACCUAAUCUCAUAGUGGGCCUCGUGGAUGCUAAAGUUUCUUGGAUUCUGCAGUUCGUUGUAUUUCUCUUUCAUGACAGAAAGAAUUGAAUAAGGCUCUUGCUGAAAUGGGAACUGUUAGCUAGUGCUUGGCUGCACUAUUAACUGUCAACGAUCAAUAUUUAACAAAUAUUUCGUUGAAGAUCAAUGUUAAGAUUUCAUCGAAAUGGAAAACAUGUUUCAAGAUGAGGAUUUGAUGCACAAACAGAACCAAAACUUUAAG
rnacentral:sRNA from 1 species